UGUCCUCUGUUCCUAGAGUCCCAGCCUCUGUGGCCCUAUGACCUGCAGGUAUUGGGAGAUCCACAACUAAGUCGCCAGGACCCCCUGGAAGCCUAGAAAUGGUAUUGCUGCCUUUAAGCCAGACCUGAUCAUUUUUCUGGAGGAAGGAAAAGAGCCCUGGAAUAUGAAGAGACAUGAGAUGGUGGAAGAAUCCCCAGUUAUAUGUUCUCAUUUUGCUCAAGAUCUUUGGCCAGAGCAGGGCAUAGAAGAUUCUUUCCAAAAAGUGAUAUUGAGAAGAUACAAGAUUCAUCAUCAUGCCUGUGAGCUGGGUCCAAUAAUGAAUCACCAUCCUACCUGUGGCCAAAUGCAUAUAUGACAGUUACAACUCUAACUGCAGACUGCAUCGGCAUGUAAAAUUUAGGUCACCAGUGGGCUGUCUCCAUGUUUGAAUGUGGUGAUUCUAAUGGUCAGCG
rnacentral:lncRNA from 1 species